rnacentral:rRNA from 1 species
UACGAGGGAGGGCUAGCGUUGUUCGGAAUUACUGGGCGUAAAGCGAACGUAGGCGGUGUUCCAUGUCAGAGGUGAAAGCCUGGGGCUCAACUCCAGAAUUGCCUUUGAAACGGGAACGCUUGAGUCCGAGAGAGGAUGGCGGAAUUCCUAGUGUAGAGGGUGAAAUUCGUAGAUAUUAGGAAGAACACCGGUGGCGAAGGCGGCCAUCUGGCUCGGUACUGACGCUCAGGUUCGAAAGCGUGGGGAGCAAACAGGG